rnacentral:rRNA from 1 species
CGGUAGCGUGGCAGACGGGUGAGUAACACGUGGGUAACCUGCCCGAAGGUGGGGGAUAACCCUCCGAAAGGAGGGCUAAUACCGCAUAACAUCCCGGGGUCCUCGGGCCCUGGGAUCAAAGCUGGCCUCUGGUUUCAUGCUAGUGCCUUCGGAGGGGCCCGCGCCCCAUUAGCUAGUUGGUGAGGUAACGGCUCACCAAGGCGACGAUGGGUAGCCGGCCUGAGAGGGUGAACGGCCACACUGGAACUGAGAAAGGUCCAGUCCCCUACGGGGGCCAGCAGUCUAGAAAUUUGCGCAAUGGACGAAAGUCUGACGCAGCGACGCCACGUGGAGGAUGAAGCCUUUAGGGGUGUAAACUCCUGUCAGAAGGGAAGAAAGCAGUGAAUAACUUUCACUGUCUGACGGUACCUUCAGAGGAAGCCCCGGCUAACUUCGUGCCAGCAGCCGCGGU